rnacentral:snoRNA from 1 species
AAGAUCAUACUUCACAGGAUCAUUUCUGUAGUGUAUCUUACUUUCCCUCUUACCUAAGUAAGAGUGCAAGCAACCACGAUGAGGAGGCACAGCUUUCUUCCCCGAGCGUGAGGAAGACUCGAGAAGUUGACUUUUGUUUCAAGUUCUCAGUCAUCGAUGAUCGUUCACCCCUUGUACUAAGUACAAGGGGGUCGGGAAGUGCAGCUUUCUGAGUGGC